AGAUUUUCAUCCUAACCUACGCCGCACGUAGACGUACACAAAGUUUAGUGCUAUAUUAAAUUACAUUAUGUUCUUUAUAAAAUACGUUAUAUUAUGUUAUAUUUUUUUUUUUUUUUUUUUUUUUUUUUUUUUUAACUGCUAUUUUCGAAUAUACGUUUUUUUUGUUAAGUUAUAUUGUAUUUAUGAGUCACUUUAUUGUUUUGUUUUGUGUUGUUUUACAUUUGCUUUGUUUUGUGUUGUUUUACUUUGCUUUGUUUCGUUUCAUUCCGUUACGUUUUUUAUGUUAAUUUUUGCUUUGCUUUGCUUUUGUUUUAUUUUUUCUUUUUCUUCUGCUUUUGCUUCUGCUUUUAUUUUUAUUUUAUCAUUUUCAUUUUUUGUUUUUGUUAUUUUUAACUCGGUAUCGCUUCGAUUAAUUUUUGCUGGAUUUUAUUUUUUUUUAUUUUAUUGUUAGAUUGUUAAAGCCUUCGAAAUUCGAAAAAAGUAAAAAAAAAUUAAAAUCAAUUUUGUGUUAAAAAAAAAAAAAAAAACAAAAAACCAUUUAUAUAUAAUGAGAAAGAGCAAAAAAAAAAAAAAAAAUGUUUUAUACAUUUUUGUUUUUUAUAAAAUCAUUGUAUGUUAUAAAUAUUAACAAGAAAUUCCUAAUAUAAAAAUAAAAAUAAAAAUAAAAAUAUAUAAAAAUGAUUUACUUAAAAGGUGAAAACCGCCUUAUUAGCAUAAAUGAAGAUAACAUAAAUGAAGAAAAUUAUAUGAUAAUAAAAGCUAUUUUAAAAGAUGAAAAAGUAUGUAUAAACGGGUGGGUUGAAGUUUGUUUAAUUUUGUAUAAAAAAAACUAUUAUAAGUUAUUUUUAGACCUUAUUAAAGAGGCAGAAGUUUUUUUUAGUAAUGACAAUUGUACAUAUUUGAGUAUAUUACUAUUGUUAUAUAACUUAGAUAAAUUAAUAAAUGUUAAAAGUAUAAAUAAAGAAGAUGAAAUAAAAAUUAAGUUAGAACAUUUAUUAACACAAAUUGAAAAAAGAAAAGUGGAUAAUUACAAUAAUAAUGAAAAAAAAAACAGUUAUGAUUAUAUAUCUUAUUUGUUAAUUAAAGGUGUAUAUUAUACAAAUAUAUAUUUAUUUUUAUUAAAUAAAUAUGAAGAAAAAAACGAAAAUAGUAAUUAUAUUCAUCCUAAUAAUAAUUAUACUUAUUCAUUUUCUUUAUCUUUACAUUCAACAUCAUCACCAUUAUUAUCGCCAUUAAAGUCUUAUACUUCUACAAAUAAUAGUAUACAAAAAACAGGCUCUUUAACAACCAAUAUAAAAGAUGAAACAAAUAAAGAAAAUAUACAUCCUUUAAAUUAUUUAAUUGAAAGUAUAAAUAUAUUUGCAUUUUUAGUAAAAAAAAAUAAUUAUGAUUUUAUUUCAUCUAUAUAUUUAUCAUACACGUUAUGUUUAAUAUAUAAACUGGACGUAUGUAUUGAGUUUUCAUCAAUUGUAUUGAUAAGAAUAAUACACUUUGAGCAAUUUUUAUGUUCGCUUUGUGAAAUUUAUUUAAAUGGGAAUGACACAAAGACGAAUAGUUUAAGUAAAAAUACAAAAACGGGUAUUACAAAUAUCCUAUCAAAUUAUGAACCAUAUAACAAUAGAAACUAUAGUUACAACACAGUAGACGAUUUGUACAGAUUUGUUAAAAUAAAAAAGUUAUUAAAUACGUUAAAAGGUUUUAAAUCUAUUAUAAAAUACAUAAUAGGUUUAUGUUAUAUGAAAAAAAAAAACUUCAUCUUAGCAUCUUAUUGUUUUACAUCAUCAAUCAAAUUAAAUAAUUAUUGUUUUGCGUACUUAACCAAUUCAUGGUUAUUAUUAUUAAACUAUUUUCAAAAAAUUACAAAAUAUAACAAUUUUAUUAAAGAUGAUAAAAUAUGUAAUUUUUUAAAAUAUAAUUUGAAUUAUGCAAAUGGGAAUGUAGGUCAUCCUAUUCAAAUGUUAUAUCUGAAAAAAAAAAAAAAAAUAAUAAAUAAUUUCAGUAAUAAUAACAGUAAUGAUGGCAGUAAUAAUAAUAACAGUAAUAAUGGCAGUAAUAAUAAUAACAGUAAUAAUGGCAGUAAUAAUAACAUUAAUAAUGAGGAGGAGGAGGAGAGUUUGAAAAAAAAUAAUGAAAAUAUUAGCUGGUAUGGUAGACUUAUGAAACGGUUAAAAAAGGAUGACUCUAAUAUUGAAACAAGUAAUGCUAAUAAUAUUAAUAAAUAUGAAGAAGGUAAUAAAUCUAAUCCAAUCGGAAUGAAUAACAUGUUAGGACACAUCAAAGCAAGUAAUACAACAUACAUCCAUGCAGGUACUCACUUAAUUACUCAUAAUAAC
ensembl:lncRNA